rnacentral:rRNA from 1 species
UACGGAGGUGGCAAGCGUUAUUCGGAUUUAUUGGGCGUAAAGGGCGCGUAGGCGGCCAGGUGCGUCUGGUGUGAAAUUCUCAUCGCUUAACGAGAGAACUGCAUUGGAUACGGCUUGGCUAGAGUCCGGGAGAGGUGAGUGGAAUUCCUGGUGUAGCGGUGGAAUGCGUAGAUAUCAGGAAGAACACCGGUGGCGAAGGCGGCUCACUGGCCCGGUACUGACGCUGAGGCGCGAAAGCGUGGGGAGCAAACGGG